rnacentral:rRNA from 1 species
GAUGAACGCUGGCGGCGUGCCUAAUACAUGCAAGUCGAGCGAACGGACGAGAAGCUUGCUCCUCUGACGUUAGCGGCGGACGGGUGAGUAACACGUGGAUAACCUACCUAUAAGACUGGGAUAACUUCGGGAAACCGGAGCUAAUACCGGAUAAUAUUUUGAACCGCAUGGUUCAAUAGUGAAAGACGGUCUUGCUGUCACUUAUAGAUGGAUCCGCGCUGCAUUAGCUAGUUGGUAAGGUAACGGCUUACCAAGGCAACGAUGCAUAGCCGACCUGAGAGGGUGAUCGGCCACACUGGAACUGAGACACGGUCCAGACUCCUACGGGAGGCAGCAGUAGGGAAUCUUCCGCAAUGGGCGAAAGCCUGACGGAGCAACGCCGCGUGAGUGAUGAAGGUCUUCGGAUCGUAAAACUCUGUUAUUAGGGAAGAACAAAUGUGUAAGUAACUAUGCACAUCUUGACGGUACCUAAUCAGAAAGCCACGGCUAACUACGUG